CCUACGGGGCGCAGCAGUGAGGAAUAUUGGUCAAUGGACGAGAGUCUGAACCAGCCAAGUAGCGUGAAGGAUGACUGCCCUAUGGGUUGUAAACUUCUUUUAUAUGGGAAUAAAAUGUUCCACGUGUGGGAUUUUGUAUGUACCAUAUGAAUAAGGAUCGGCUAACUCCGUGCCAGCAGCCGCGGUAAUACGGAGGAUCCGAGCGUUAUCCGGAUUUAUUGGGUUUAAAGGGAGCGUAGGUGGAGUGUUAAGUCAGUUGUGAAAGUUUGCGGCUCAACCGUACAAUUGCAGUUGAAACUGGCAGUCUUGAGUACAGUAGAGGUGGGCGGAAUUCGUGGUGUAGCGGUGAAAUGCUUAGAUAUCACGAAGAACUCCGAUUGCGAAGGCAGUUCACUGGACUGCAACUGACACUGAGGCUCGAAAGUGUGGGUAUCAAACAGGAUUAGAUACCCUAGUAGUC
rnacentral:rRNA from 1 species